rnacentral:rRNA from 1 species
CCUACGGGGGGCAGCAGUGAGGAAUAUUGGUCAAUGGACGUGAGCCUGAACCAGCCAAGUCGCGUGAGGGAUGAAUGUUCUAUGGGUUGUAAACCUCUUUUAUAAGGGAAUAAAAUGUUGGACGUGUGGGAUUUUGUAUGUACCAUAUGCAUAAGGAUCGGCUAACUCCGUGCCAGCAGCCGGGGUAAUACGGAGGAUCCGAGCGUUAUCCGGAUUUAUUGGGUUUAAAGGGUGCGUAGGAGGCUUGUUAAGUCAGUCGUGAAAGUGUGCGGCUCAAACGUCGAAUUGCAGUUGAAACUGGGAGGCUUGAGUAUGUUAGAGGUGGGCGGAAUGCGUGGUGUAGCGGUGAAAUGCUUAGAUAUCACGAAGAACGCCGAUUGCGAAGGCAGUUCACUGGACUACAACUGACACUGAUGCUCGAAAGUGUGGGUAUCAAACAGGAUUAGAUACCCUAGUAGUC